rnacentral:rRNA from 1 species
AUUGAACGCUGGCGGCAUGCUUUACACAUGCAAGUCGAACGGCAGCACGGACUUCGGUCUGGUGGCGAGUGGCGAACGGGUGAGUAAUACAUCGGAACGUACCCAGUAAUGGGGGAUAACUAUCCGAAAGGAUAGCUAAUACCGCAUACGCCCUACGGGGGAAAGAGGGGGAUCGCAAGACCUCUUGUUAUUGGAGCGGCCGAUGGCUGAUUAGCUAGUUGGUGAGGUAAAGGCUCACCAAGGCGACGAUCAGUAGCGGGUCUUAGAGGACGAUCCGCCACACUGGAACUGAGACACGGUCCAGACUCCUACGGGAGGCAGCAGUGGGGAAUCUUGGACAAUGGGCGCAAGCCUGAUCCAGCAAUGCCGCGUGCGUGAAGAAGGCCUUCGGGUUGUAAAGCGCUUUUGUCUGGGAGCAAAUCCUUGUGGUUAAUACCCACCGGGGAUGAGAGUACCAGAAGAAUAAGGACCGGCUAACUACGUGCCAGCAGCCGCGGUAACAC